AUGAAAAUCAGCCCCAGGCAUCCCGCAUAGGUUAGCCCGCGAUGAUUGAGCAUACCUGAUAGAUCAGCUGGAGAAACAGGGAACAGCGAAAAUUCAUGAUCACGAAGGAACGUCGAAAUACGACAGCUGACUCAAGGUACGUGGACCAGUACGCGAGGUUGAACAGAGCGAAUACUAGGGGGAAGGUGAUCCGAGAGAUGACGUCGAUGCGCUUGGACCUCGUCGGGAACUUGGACAGCCACGACCUGCAGCAGUUUUUUGGCGGCGACUGCAUGUGUAUCUCGCACUGCCGCAUCUUAUCCAACGACAUCGCAUCCUCCUGGUGUCUUACCAGAGGCUUCUGAAAAAAAUGACAAAGAAGUACUAGGAACUUCUUGAAAAUUAUUUUCAAAAAAUAAUACCAAGACACAGAUUUCAUACAGAAAGGACACUGACCAUAGCGAAAUUCGUCGUUCCAUCCGGCUCGAUCAGCUCAGCAGCUGGCUCGACAGAUGCCGAGGGCUCUAUUUCACGAUAUUUCUUCUUCAUAUUCUCACGAUGCAUGUCGCUACGCGAUGCGUAGUUGACCAAUGCAAACUCCAGAAGUGCGCCAAAGACGAACGUCAAACACACCCCCGUCCAUACGUCAAUGGCCUUUGUGUAGGAGACUGGUGGCAGUGAAGCGUUUAUUCCAGAAGUCUGUGUGGCCAUUGUCAAUAGCGUAGUCACUCCUAUAAAAGAAAAAACACAUAUAGAGAAACUCGAGCUGGUACUGCACUCUGAUCUAGCCAGAAGGACACCCAGGAUACGAUGACCAGCAUGCAGCAGGGGAUGUAGAUCUGAAUGAGAUAAUAACUGAACUCUCUUUUGAAGAGUAGAUCUACCUUGAGACAACUGUACUCGCCUGAGAAUAAUCUGUUAGAAAUCUCUCGAGCGUAAAUCUGGGUAGGUGUAAGUUCUUGACAACCUGGACGGGGUCACCCUCUUUCCAGAGGAAAACCAGGUCGUCGGUCGUCCAUCCGUCUGAAAAGUUCAGAGGUCACGUUACUCGUGAGAUAAUUGAGUUCAGUUGAUCCGAUAUCAUUUCAACAUGAGAAAAUAUUAAUCCACUUACAGCUGGCCAUUCGCAGUGAACAAGUUUGUCGAUCCAGGGGAUAAAGUUUCAGAUCCAUCGGACACGAGAGAUAAACCAUACCGUAUGCUGUAGAGAACAGAACCGUGAGGGAAGAUACGUAUGUAUACGUUUGGCAUAAUGAUUUCGUGAAAAUGACCUUCCUUCUCAUUGGCAAAGAAAAGAUCAGGCAUCCAUACUCGACUUGCUUCUGUUAACUGUUUCAGAGAGAUCUGUAUUUAUGCUUUGAAUGACAGUGACGUAUACCAACCUCCGAAGUCAUUGAACCGUAAUCUCUCGUCCACCCAUUGUUCCCGGAAUGUCAAUUGCACGGAAUAUUCCUGCGGGUAAAAAAAAUCCGGUUAAGCGGACAAAGGAUGAUAUUUAAUUUUUCAAAAUUGCAGGCACUGCUUGAAAAUUGUUUUAUUUCAACAAAAAACAAGGGAGGGAUUUUAUGCGCUUAAAGAUGCGCCUUUUAUGUAUAUUUACAUAUGCCGACGGAUUUUUCGAGUCUUUCUCAAUAAUUAUGUGCGAACGCCGAAAUUUUAUAAAAUAUGAAUAUUUAUUUUUUUUCAAAUUCAAACUUGGAUUAUCUAUAUACGAGAAAUUCGGAUUAAACGAUGGAAACAUAUUUAUAGACAGAUUUCGUUAAAUCUCAUGUAGCAAACAGAGAGCCGUACAAGCUUAUCAGAAUGUACACUUGCGUAAUUUGUUUAUAUACGAAUUUUCCAAUUUGUACAGAUAUGCGAUUUUUAUAUUAUUUUAUAUCGAAGCUACAGUAAUGGAAGCAUAAAAUCAUUACGAUUGUACAAUUGUAUAUACAAUGUCUUACAGCAAAAUUAGAUCUCUGCAAUGUAUAUACAUUGCUAAGCAACAACGUCAUUAUCUUCUAAAGCCUAUUAAACGUACAUUAAUUAAGCAUUUAAGUAAUUUUUCAUUGAACUGUUAUACGUUUACCCGAAAAUCAAUUUUUCAAAUUUAUACAGCUAUUACUCAAGAUAGAAAAACCUUCCGUGUACAAUAUCGGCCCGAAAAUUCCUCAAGAACAAUAUACUUAUAGAACGGGGAGUGAGAAAAUGCAAACCAAAAAUAGUAAUAUCUCUCACAUUCGGCAAUAAUAAAAUACACAGGGGACGAGUACAGUCAAAAAAAAAAUAGAAAAUCUUGAUAAAGAUAAGAUUUAAAAUAGUAUAAAUAAAAUUAUCGAAUUGACAAUCAAUAUAAUGACUCAAAAGAAAUUACGAGUUCUUGAUUAAUAGAGGAUUUCAAACACGAUCGUUAAUCGUGUUAUACGUUAAUUUCACGGUCCGUUCAACCAAACGGCUAAGUGUGACUAGCCGUUAAAUUAACGUUUCCGAAGGAUCGAUCCUUUUUUAGAGGGGAGAAGGGGAUCACCAUUGACUUUAACACGACCAAUCGUCACAGACGUAAUUCCAAUAGCAUCUUGUCUUAAUGACAGUUACUGACAAUUAAAACAAGUCAAUGGUUAUCCCCAUAGUGUAAAUACACGUGAUACCUGAUAAUCGAUCAUUUCUGUCCGACCCACUACAGGUAUCACGUUACGAAUGUUUGUAUAUGAUGAUACAGGAAAAAAAAGUAUCAUGCAAAAGCGACAUUGACUGAACUACUUUGAAGCGACUAUAGCGAUUUAUAUAUGUAUGUAUAUAGCUGCCAAAAUAAAUACAUAUAUAUAUAUA